AGGGCAUGGCACCUGCAGACCGGCCCACAGAGCUGCGUCAGCACUGUGAGGAAGAGGCCAAGGAGAUAGUGCAGCAGACCAACUCCCUCCGCGACGACCAGCAGUGAGUUUCUAACUCCAGCCUCACUCACCUCAUCUCAGGCCUCACCGCCUUGUUGCUUCAGAUCAAGUGUCUGGCUGAGGGAGGAGACCUGAACUCCUUUGAAUUUAAAUCACUGACGGACUCUCUGAAUGACAUAAAGAGCUCAAUAGACCCCUCCAACCUCAGUUGCUUCCAGAACAACGUAGAGAUCCACGUAGCACACAUCCAGAGUGGCCUGAGUCAGCUGGGAAACCUGCAUGCCUUUGCAGCCAACAACACCAACAUGGUCUGAAGCCGGUAUCAUUACCACACACAGAGAGCAGCCUGGUCAGCACCAACUAAGUGGAACA